rnacentral:lncRNA from 8 species
CUUUAAAAAAUUCUUUAAGUCUGGAAGUUGCUUUUUAUAAGUUCGUGGUGCUCCAUGAAAGAUGACUGGAGAGAGGUAGACAGAACUGAGGGUUUUCUGUCAUACACAGAGCUAGUUUAAACGUGUCUCUAUAAUGUAAUGUCUGACACACACACACACACACACACACACACACACACACACACACACACACACACACACACACACACACACACACACAACAUGUUUUGGGACAUGUGGCCCACCACAGUAAACAGUAAGACAAUACUCUCUGCAGCAUAUCAUGGAGUUCUGUGAAUGACUGAAUGAACAAGGAGCGUUGAGAUUUUCAUUCUCAAUGGUUUCUCAUGGGUCCCUGUGACCCUGCAUUUGCAUAAGAUUGGAUUCUCUUGAAUUUUGAAGUGUAAUCAGAUGAGUGUAAUCAAACUGCCCAGUUCCCUAAAGAAAAUACAGACUUACUUUUAACUAAAAUAAAUUGUAAGCAAUCUGUGCACCUUUGUUGAAUACUGUAAAUUGAUUUGAGACAUUUUGGAUUAAAUAGAUUUUUAAUUUGAUAUUGAUGGUCUCUGAUUGCACACUUUCUGACUGACUCAGCAUAAUAAGCUACAAAUCAGAGCAAGCAACGUAUUCCAGAAGCCAUGUAUAGUACCAGUCAAAGGUUUGGCGUGUGCAAAGCUGUCACCAAGACUACUUUGAAGAAUCUCAAAUAAAAAAUAUAUAUUGAUUUGUUUAACACUUUUUGGUUAAUACAUGAUUCCAUAUGUGUUAUUUUAUAGUUUUGACAUCUUCACUAUUAUUCUACAAUGUAGAAAAUAGUAAAAAUAAAGAAAAACCCUUGAAUGAGUAGGUGUGUCCAAACUUUUGACUGGCACUGUAUCUGAGGAAGGGAAAGUGAAAGGCCAAGGCAGGACACAGAGGAAGAGCCAGGAUGGCCAACAACAGUCUGCUUUCAUUAAGAACAGUAGAGCACCCAAACAGAGUCGGCUCUGGUGGGUCACAUUGUGUUGGGAGAAGGUUCAAAGACAUGUUAUUGAUAACAAUAAAAAGUUGUCUCUGUGCAGUGUUGAUAAAUGGAGGUAAAAGUCCUAGAGCCAGAGCAGGAAUGAGCUUUCUUCCCAGCCAUUCCCAGGCGUUCUAUAGUUGCUAUGGUGCCAAGCGGCAGCCUAGGCAGAGAAAUCAACGACCCAAGAGGAAGCUAUGUAAGUAGAGUUGGCAGUGUGCCAGGGGUUUCAUUGCUCAGGAGGAUACUUCUGAAGUAAGGACUGAGUGAGCUGUACUCUUUGGGGAGCAAACUUCACCACAGAGUCUCAAUAUAGGGAAGACAGCAGAGAGGCUUGGAUGACAUGGAGCUGCCUGCCUGCCUGCCUGCCUGCCUGCCUGCCUGCCUGCCUGCCUGCCUGCCUGCCUGCCUGCCUGCCUGCCUGCCUGCCACCACCUCCGACCACCAUCUCUGCUGACCAUCUACCUAUGAGCUUCCAGAUCCUCUCAUGACCGUGGCUGCCCAUCUGGAAGCUUCAAGAAGUACUCAGACAGACUUGAUCUAGCUGAUCUAGCUACUGUUGUAGCCUGUAUUUUCCUCAACAUUUAAACAUUUCGAUUUUAUGGGAACGUCUUAAUAAUCUAAAUGUGUUUCUUGUAUGUGUUACUGCAAUUCAGCUUUAAGCUGCCAUAGUACACAUGAAAGGAAAUUCAAAUAUACCAUUAUCAUCAUCAUUCCUUGCUUGGAAAACAUAUGUUGUUUUAAUAACAAUAAAAUCUUACUUCUGAUCUUUAUGUAAUUAUCCAGAUAAGUUCACAAAUGUACUAUGGCCAAGAUUCAAAUAAAGGUGUGUUGUGGAUGCACUGUCUACAAUUGGUCCCAGGCCUCCCACAGUGAAAAACCUGAAAUUCACUACUUUCAUGCAAUUCAGCUUUAAGCUGCCAUAGUACACAUGAAAGGAAAUGAAAAUAUACCAUUAUCAUCAUCAUUUCUGAGUCAAAUUGCAACCCAAAAUCUACUGCUCAGAUUUAAAAAAAAAUACAUUACUUAAAAAAUGUAAGCCUGUGCGAAAUUAACUUUUCAAAACAGUACUGUAGUAAUGAGGAUUGUGCAGUAGGCUCAAAACAUUAUCACCACAUAUUGUCUUUGCUUGAAUUGACCUACCAAUGCCUUCUUGUUCUUCUCACACCAUUUCCAAAUGAUAUUUAAAAACCUGAGAUAGGACCUACACUAUAUGAUCACACUAGUCAUAGAUUGUUGUAUUACAUGUGAGGCACAACUGAGUGAGAAAACAUUUAAAUGAUUUUUGUAUUGUUUUACUGGGCUGAUGGUCCCUGUAUCUGAUGGUCAGCCUCAGUGGAGGGAGGGAGAGAGCAGCAGAUGGUCUGACUCUCACCGUCUCUACACUCUCCCUUCCUCCGCUGAGUCUGACCAAAGAGGGGACACUGUCUUCCAGCUGACGGCAAAACUCGAGUCGCACCUCAUUAUUUCUGCCUCAUGCACAAAUUGAUGCUUUUAUUCCUAUGACCAGAGAAAGUGAACUAUUCCUGGAUAUUAAAGGGAUACUCCAGGAUAUUGGAAUUGGAGCCCUUAUCUACUUCCCCAGAUUCAGAUGAACUCAUGGAUACCAUUGUUAUGUCUCUGUGUGCAGUUUGAAGGAUGUUGCUAACUAGCAUUAGCGCAAUCGCUAACUAGUGUUAACUCAAUGACUAUGGUAACUGCUAGCAUGCAAUUAGAUACCAUAGACUUCAAGUCAUUGCGCUAACGCUAGCUAACAUUGGCUCAGGAAACUACCUCUCACUUAUUGCAUGCUGGAUGCAGCUACAUACAAAUGGUAUCUGUGAGUAUAUCUGACUCUGGGGAACUACAUAAAGACUUAAUUGUCAAAUGAAGAAGUAGCCCUUUUAAAAAGACACAAGCUGUUAAUAAUAACAACUCAAGCCUUUCAAUACACUUCACUACUCAUUCAUUGCAGCUGCAGUGCUGGUGGAAGAGUGAGUGGAAGUAGUUUUAUGGCAUAUAAAAGUGUUGAAUAAAGUGUUGACAGUGCUGAAAAAAAUCUUAAACAAAUUCUUUGCUGUAUUCGUUGGCAGUAUCUCUCGAAUCAUGGUUUCAAAAGUUUUGAAA